rnacentral:lncRNA from 1 species
AUCAUCUUAUCAUUCUUAUACGUUGUAUCAAAUGAAUGUAAAAGUGUAUCGUAAUAUCACGCUUCAAAUUUAUAGGAUUUGUGAAUGGUUGUAACUACCCCUGCCAUGACCCAAGUGCCUGUGCUAAAAUGCCCUGUGAAGUUCCUAAUUGCAUAAAGCGAUGCCACAGCCAGUGCUGCAUUUGCCAGUGUCUUGGAAAUGAGAAACCUGAAAUAAAGAUGUAACAAUUCCACGCCUUUGUUGUGGAAUUUAUGAGUAAUAAGAAAAGUUCAAAUAAUAACAUCUUCA